CUACAGUCUAUGGCCUUUAUUGCUUCAGGUUCCAAGCCUGAAAGCAUGAUGGAGGGCUUGCAUGAAGCUAUCUCAGCUUUGAGCCUUCAGCUCUUUCACAUAUGAAGAAAACAAGGCAAAGAGGGACACCUCACUGAAUUCAGACCAGUCUCCUGGGAAGUUAGUGGAGGACUUUGUCAAUGUCUGUCCCCACUGAAAGCCAGUUCACAGAGCACCUCUUGUCAGACAGGUUUGUGUUACAUUUUUGAAAAUGACUUCAUGAAAAUUGUAAAACAAUGUUUACAAUCCUUUAUUUUAUUAAUUUGAUUUUAGACUUAAGCGAUAAAAUUAUUUCUAUUUGCAAAUCACAUUAAACGGGAUGAGCCGGCGCCAGCUAGACGGCAACAGUCCAGAGGAAAAGGAGCAGACCAGUGAAUACCCACACCCAGAGCAAGACAACCAUAGAGCAGAUGGUCAGGAGGAACACAGUAAUUCUCCAGACCAUGAAGAUCUAGAAAGCAGGGUACCAAAGAACCAUAAACUAGAAGAUAACCAGAACCCAUACAAUCAGGAAGUAGAAAGCCAGGGAUCAAGCAGUCAGAUGACAAGCAUGGGUAAAACAGGCUACACAGAACUAGAUGUAUGGGAAUGAGCCAGUCAGAAGCAUGUGAAAAUGGGG
rnacentral:lncRNA from 1 species